GCGCCAGCCGUCUUUCGCGUAGGUUGGGGCCUGCUCUCGGGUGGGUCUUCCAGCCUGGUCUCGAUACGUGGCCUUUCCCGGAUUCUUGACGGCAUGAUGGCUAUUCAGUGCUAGGAUAUUGCUAUUGGAUGGAAGGGUUUUAGGCGCCGAGGAGACAUUGUGUUGCGGGAGAGGACCCAGUCAGCAACCGUGCACCUGGAAGGAUUUCUGAGGGAACCAACGUUAACAGCUGUUAAGGAUCGAAGAAGUUGCGUUUAGUACGAUCAACAUCAUCACCAGCACCACUACCACCGCCAUCAGGAUCGCUUGAUUGCAGUGAAUCAAGUCCAGCACCAGUCAUCGAUCUGUUCGAGUGCGUACGUCAGUGCAAUGCCAGAGUUUCCCAUUUCCCAACCAAUCUGAGAUCUGAGUGUUAAGUUGCUCGUUAAGUUCAGUGAAUACCAAGUUGAGGCAUUAGUUCGAAGUGCGGUAAUGGAGUGAUGGAGUGCGAACGAACUUAAUCGAUCUUGCCGGAAGCUCCGUCCGGUCGGAUAAAGUGUUCUGCCUUUUCAAACGACGUCUCUUCGUACGCUUCGAAAUGUUUGGUCAAAAAAUUACACUCCUUAUAAACUUCGUCCAUUCGUUGCGUUACCCGUGCCUUCGCGAUGGUGCCCCACCAUCGUUCGGUGCUGUGAUUGUUGUGCUUUUGUACUAAAAGUGCGUGCCUGGCAGGUUGUGUGAAUCGCAGGAUCUGUUUACCCUCGGCCUUUUGCAUCGGACAGUGAAAAUGAAUGACGAAAGUCAAGGUGGUCGUUGUGCAGAGUGGCUACAGCGGCGUUAGGCAAGUGGUUUUGUAGGACGGGUGUGAUUUAUUCGCUUCGUUUACGAUACAAGAUGGUUUAGAAACAAAACAAAAACCCCCCACGCGGAAGUGUGCAGUUGGGACACACCCGGUGCAGCGUGGAAAUUAAUCUAACUCGAAGGACAGAUAGUGUAAGCAAAUAAAAUGAUUGUUGGAAUGGAGUAACGUGAAUGCAACAAACUAAAAAAAAACUGCAUGAAGCAAACAUCGUUUGCAAAGUGUCAAAAUUGCUCAUCGAAUCGUAACGAGGCGUGCUCGUGCCGUCCAACCAACGAUACUGUCACAGAGUUUCUCGGUUUAGUAGUGCUAGCAGAAUAUGUAAUAAUAAGUGAUAAAAAGGAAACAAUACUGCAUUCUGAUUCAAAAGAGGGCUACCUCGACAACACCACAAUUUGCUAGCGUCAGAAAGAUUCUCCUCAAGUCUCUUGAAUUCUCAACUCUUGGCCAG